rnacentral:lncRNA from 1 species
UUCCUGCUGUUUUCUUCCCAAGCCUCUUUCCCUCUAACCUGUCUCUCUUCCUUCCAGUCUUUCCCUCCUCCUGCUUCAGUCCUAGAGACUGUGAUCUCGGCUGGCAGUUUCUGAGCUCCGAGCGCUCCGCUUUUCUGUUUUUGCGCAGCGCCCUCAUUCUGCCAACCAAUCGCUGAGGAGCACCACCCACCGAGCCACCGCUAACUGGCAGAUCUGGCUGUCAAUCAUGAGCGUCACUCGGCAGCCGGGAGGGGUGGGAUGGAACCCGCGUUCGGGCGGGCUGCCGGGGUGAGUGUGAGUGUGAGAGUGAGAACAGCCCGGCAGGUCCCGAGGCGCUGGCUGGGGACUGUGCCGAGGAAAGUUCCCAGUCCCCAGCCGCAGGACGAUCCCUCGCGGCUUCCUGGUAAUGAAUGACCCGAGGGUAACACCAACACAACCUUCGAGAAAAGGCGGACCAUUUCCCCAAGCCCGAGGUACGUUUUCAUCUCUUCUUGAUAGGGAAUUAAGCAGAGCAAGUGUCCACGGGCGUGAUUGCAGACGGAGGC